ensembl:processed_transcript
CAUUGUAUGUGGCGAUCUAUUUUUUACAGUCUAUGCUCGCUAUCCCAAGGUUCAUUGCGAUCCCAAGGUUCACUGCGGUUUUCCACAAGCCUGUUUCUGCCUAUCACCAUGAGUGAUUCCUUGAUACUCAUAUUUAUCAUCAAGAUCUCAAUUAUAAGCUCAAGUCUUGAUGACAACUUGAUGAUCUGCAGGAAGCACCACCAUGUAUAGAGGGCAAAGACCACUCUGGAAUCAGUCAAGGCUCAUAGGAACUCCAAUCUUCCCAACUGUGAGAGGGCCUUGCUCCAGUGACUGAUUGCAGUGACCAGACAUGCUACUGUAACUCUCAUGGUCAUGUGCUGGAAUUAGCAGAUAUUCAACAAUUUGGCCAUCUUGCUGACCUAUUGAUAUCAGAAGACCACAACAGCUCUGCAAAGCAAGUUGGAAAACAGAAUCCAUGAAACUGGCAGUGACCGGAAACCAGUUAGAAGACUUUGGUCUGUGACGUAGAGGAGUGGGCAGACGGUGAGGAAAUUCUUAUUAAUAUUACAUGUAGUCAUGAAAAAUUGUAAGUGUUACUAUUAUUGUCAUUUUUUUCAGUAGCAGAAGCAAAGACGACAAACAACAGAAGUGAUAUGGAUGUCUUCGUCAUAUGGCAUGACUCUGCUGACCCAGCAACAAAGAGGAGGGUGUUCAACAUCAUCCUGCUAGUCAGGAUUCUUCAGAAGCAGU